CCUUCUUCCAGCCCACUCUGCUUUCGUAACUGCAGCAUGGACGGCUCUAUGCUACAUAUUUGUUAGCAAUGUAGACAGGCGUUCAGGUUUUGUUCCAGAAUAUUUACAUGAAUUGAUUCAAUUUUGGGAAUCAGACUUCGAAAAGAUCCUAUGAUGGUACUACUUAAUACGACUAUUCCAGUCCCGAACAAAUAUCAUUGCAAACUUAUACAAUUUAUCUUUAGGGCAGCGAAACAGACUAUUGCUACCUCCUGGAAAAAAUGUUCAAUUCCUAUAAUUAUGUUCAGACUCAAAAUGAACUGGAUUAUGGUAAAUGAGAGACUGUUGAGUAUUUCUAUAGAUAAAUAUAAUGUUUACACCAAAAUCUGGACGCCUUCGAUAACAUAUACCAGGUUACAAUAAAGAUAUUGGAUGAGAACUUUAUGGUUUAAAUUCCUAUAAUUGAAUAUGUGUAGCAACUGGUGAGGUUAGAUAGAGUUGACAUCUGCAGGAUGGAACUUUGCGUGGUUAUAAACACUGCAAUAAGGGGCAAUAUUGUAACUUCAUAUUAAACACGGAAACGGUUGUUUAAGUUUAUUGGUUUAAUUUUUGUUAAUAUGCAAUUUCCAAUGCUAAAAUGUUUCGAUUUAUGCUGUAUAACUGUGAGACAUGAUGGAAACAAGAGUUUUUCUUGACCGUCAGGGUAAUUGAAUAUGGUGACAAUGUCCUCCUCUGCGUAGGAGAGUAUCCAUUUUCUGAAAGUAAAAAUGUAUGAAAAUUAGCUAUGACGAAAGUAAAUACUGUAAUGUUAUCUAAUAAAAAAGUUUUAAAAGAAAAUGUAAUUGCUCUUGACAUAGUAACCACCUGAAUGCCAUUUUCAAAGUACUCCUUAUCCCUUCAUUAUAUACAAAUGGCUCAGUAUAGUCACAAAUGUUGGCAUGUUGAAAAAAACCCAUUCAUGCAUCUCCUAAAAGCUCUGAUACAUGUGUAAAUUUAACCACCAAUUUAUGAUGUUUUUCUAGACAAGUGAAAAAAUAAAUUGUAGAACAUAAAAAGUAUAUGAGGGGUACUACUGAACUGGAUUUAAGAGACUAUGAAGAGAAAAUUUCAAAAAUGCUCGGUCCAGACACCAUAAGUGGCAUGGAAGGCAGUUUUGACACCGAUGCAACAGGACCAGAUAACACACAAGACUCAAACCAGUAGCAGAGUCAAGAAACUUAUGUGGAAGAGGAAGAAUCCCAGCAAACACUACCAAUCUGGAAGCCAUUCCAACAGAACUAGCUGAGCCGCACAAAACCCUGGAAGCCAUUCCAAGAGAAGUAGCUGAGCCAUGGGAAACCCAAGAGAUGCAGCCUCAAGAGCAGGAGGAAACAAUCCACUAUGAGGCCGAUCCAUUUCAUCAAUCAGUUAAACAGCUGACUGCAACUCCCUCCUCAAGUACUGCUGAAAACAGAAAAAGCCAUAUACAAAUGAAACAAGCAUUGAUUCUAAUACAGCAGAACUUCAUGUCACUAAAUGACAAUUUACAGCAGACAGCAGAUGCGUCAUUGCACUUGAAAAGGCAACACCUUGAUCUGAUCCUACAUCAAAAUCAUCUUCUUAAAGAACAGAAUCCACUCAUUAUGGCUCAAAACCACCUCCUCAAACAGCAUAACUCCUGGAGGUUCAGCUACUUCUAAAAGGGGUGGGCAUCCAGUUAGGGGCAAGGCUUCAAGGGGCCAAAAAAAAUAACCUGUUAUGUAUUGGUGCCAGCUAGGUGCAAAGGCACAGCAAACUCCUUAUUUGACAUUUUCAAUCACUGUUUAAAAAAUGCCAUAGAAAUUGAGUGGCACAAUUUAACAUAAUCCUUCAUUUAUGUAUUGGUGCCAGCUAGGUGCAAAGGUACAGCAAACUCCUUAUUUGACAUUUUCAGCCACUGUUUAAAAAAUGCCAUAGAAAUUGAGUGGCACAAUUUAUCAUAAUCCUUCAUUUAUGUAUUGGUGUCAGCUAGGUGCAAAGGCACAGCAAAUUCCUUAUUUAACAAUUUCAGUCACUGUUUUAAAAAUGCCAUAGAAAUUGAGCGGCACAAUUUAUCAUAAUCCUUCAUUUAUGUAUUGGUGCCAGCUAGAUGCAAAGGCACAGCAAACUAUUUAUUUGACAUUUUCAGUCACUGUUUCAAAAAUGCCUUAGAAAUUGAGUGUCCGAAUUUCAGUGUACCAGACUUGCCAAUGUGACAGACAUUUUUUUUAAAUAUACCCCAUAGAAGGCUGGCUGAUUCACAUUACUUUAUAUGACAUGG